rnacentral:rRNA from 1 species
UACGGAGGAUGCAAGCGUUAUCCGGAUUUAUUGGGUUUAAAGGGUGCGCAGGUUGUUUGAUAAGUCAGUGGUGAAAGUCUGUCGCUUAACGGUAGGAUUGCCAUUGAUACUGUUAGACUUGAAUAUGGAUGAGGUAGGCGGAAUGUGUAGUGUAGCGGUGAAAUGCGUAGAUAUAGGAAGGAACAUCAGUGGCGAAGGCGACCACCUGGACUGAUACUGACACUGAGGUGCGAAAGCGUGGGGAGCAAACAGGAUUAGA